rnacentral:misc_RNA from 1 species
GUAAUCUGUAAGCAGUAAUAUAUCCCGUUAUAAAAAAAGAAUUGAAAUGUAUAAAUAUUUAAUUAAUAAAAAAUAUAUACAUGUAUUUCAAAACUAAAAAUAUGCAAAUAAUUAUUCUGCAUUAUUCCAAAACCACAAGACAAUGACAUGAUUCUCUCUCUCUCUCUAAACUUUACAGAAAGAAUUUUCUCUCCUUUUCAGUUUUCAUUCUCCGUCGUCCUUCUCGGUUUUAGUCGAGUGUUUGCUUCAGUUAGGCCUUCCCUAUAUGCUAUGGGUCUCCCUCCCCUUGCUAGUGUGGUGUGUACAUAGUUGUUUUUGGUAUUAUUGCCGAUCCAUGGAGCUUCACAAAGAGGGUGUCUUCGUGGCAGAUCUACAGGGGCAUAUGCCUCCUCUCUCUUUGAAGGCUGAUCCCUAAGCCAAAAGAGAUUGAGAAGCCAGUGAGGGUUGUGGUAUUACCCUCCUUUGCUGGUUAGUAGUUCUGCUGAUGGGAAGGAGAUCAUGUGUUGAUUUCAUGGAGAUCUGUUGGUGGCCUUGGUUUGUGCUUCUAGUUUUCUUGCUUUGAAUGACGGGUCUCUCCACAACCUUUCCAGCAGUUCUUGCUUUAAGCUGGGAGGUGGGCGGCGGCGCUUGUUAAGGUGGUUGGUUCUCUCUGCUAAGAUUAGGUUUUCUUGGUUGAUUGGCUAAGUUGCCUUGUCUUGGGUCGUUUAGUUUGAGAUUGAUUGUGCCUCUUUUUUUGUAUGUUUCUAGGCCCUGUUUGUAAUAUUGCCCUAUGGGCCAUGCUAACGCAAUAUAUGCUAAAUAUU